GAUGAACGCUAGCGGCAGGCUUAAUACAUGCAAGUCGAGGGGCAGCAGUCCCGCAGCAAUGCGGGAGCUGGCGACCGGCAAACGGGUGCGGAACACGUACAGAACCUUCCUUCGAGCGGGGAAUAGCCCAGAGAAAUUUGGAUUAAUACCCCAUAGCAUUACGAAGUGGCAUCACUUUGUAAUUAAAGAUUUAUCACUCGAAGAUGGCUGUGCGGCUGAUAGGUAGUUGGCGGAGUAACGGCCCACCAAGCCUUCGAUCAGUAACUGGUGUGAGAGCACGACCAGUCACACGGGCACUGAGACACGGGCCCGACUCCUACGGGAGGCAGCAGUAAGGAAUAUUGGUCAAUGGACGAAAGUCUGAACCAGCCAUGCCGCGUGGAGGAUGAAGGUCCUCU
rnacentral:rRNA from 1 species